AGAGUUUGAUUAUGGCUCAGGAUGAACGCUAGCUACAGGCUUAACACAUGCAAGUCGAGGGGCAGCAUGAUCUUAGCUUGCUAAGAUUGAUGGCGACCGGCGCACGGGUGAGUAACGCGUAUCCAACCUUCCCCUUAGUAGGGCAUAGCCCGUAGAAAUGCGGAUUAAUACCCUAUGUUGUAUAUUGAGGACAUCUGAUUUAUACCAAAGGUUCACCGCUAAGGGAUGGGGAUGCGUCUGAUUAGGUUGUUGGCGGGGUAACGGCCCACCAAGCCUACGAUCAGUAGGGGUUCUGAGAGGAAGGUCCCCCACAUUGGAACUGAGACACGGUCCAAACUCCUACGGGAGGCAGCAGUGAGGAAUAUUGGUCAAUGGACGAGAGUCUGAACCAGCCAAAAGUAGCGUGCAGGAUGACGGCCCUAUGGGUUGUAAACUGCUUUUAUACGGGGAUAAAGUGACCCACGUGUGGGUUUUUGUAGGUACCGUAUGAAUAAGGACCGGCUAAUUCCGUGCCAGCCGCAGC
rnacentral:rRNA from 1 species